rnacentral:rRNA from 1 species
GAAUCAGCUUGUGUGUUAGUGGAACGGUCUGGAAAGUCCGACGGUACAGGGUGAUAGUCCCGUACACGAAAGCACACAUGCUGUGAACUCGAAGAGUAGGGCGGGACACGUGGUAUCCUGUCUGAAUAUGGGGGGACCAUCCUCCAAGGCUAAAUACUCCUGACUGACCGAUAGUGAACCAGUACCGUGAGGGAAAGGCGAAAAGAACCCCGGCGAGGGGAGUGAAAAAGAACCUGAAACCGUGUACGUACAAGCAGUGGGAGCCUACUUGUUAGGUGACUGCGUACCUUUUGUAUAAUGGGUCAGCGACUUAUAUUCUGUAGCAAGGUUAACCGUAUAGGGGAGCCGAAGGGAAACCGAGUCUUAACUGGGCGUUAAGUUGCAGGGUAUAGACCCGAAACCCGGUGAUCUAGCCAUGGGCAGGUUGAAGGUUGGGUAACACUAACUGGAGGACCGAACCGACUAAUGUUGAAAAAUUAGCGGAUGACCUGUGGCUGGGGGUGAAAGGCCAAUCAAACCGGGAGAUAGCUGGUUCUCCCCGAAAGCUAUUUAGGUAGCGCCUCGUGAACUCAUCUUCGGGGGUAGAGCACUGUUUCGGCUAGGGGGCCAUCCCGGCUUACCAACCCGAUGCAAACUACGAAUACCGAAGAAUGUUAUCACGGGAGACACACGGCGGGUGCUAACGUCCGUCGUGAAGAGGGAAACAACCCAGACCGCCAGCUAAGGUCCCAAAGUCAUGGUUAAGUGGGAAACGAUGUGGGAAGGCACAGACAGCCAGGAUGUUGGCUUAGAAGCAGCCAUCAUUUAAAGAAAGCGUAAUAGCUCACUGGUCGAGUCGGCCUGCGCGGAAGAUGUAACGGGGCUAAACCAUGCACCGAAGCUGCGGCAGCGACACUAUGUGUUGUUGGGUAGGGGAGCGUUCUGUAAGCCGUUGAAGGUG